rnacentral:lncRNA from 1 species
UCUACCCCACACAGUCCUUUGCGAUUUUCCUCUCCCACUUUGGGAGCCAGUGGAUGAAGAGGGUGGAACCAUAGAAUAGAAGGAACCCAGAUACAGAUCACUGUUCAGAGGAGAGCUGCCUGCCAGUCAGGAAGACCCAUUUUGGACUUUAUAAAUGCUCUGACCUUAAAAGGAAUAUUGGAGGCAGGAGGAAACAGAGGAAGCAAGAAGAAUUUCCUGGAAGGUAAUUAUUGUAAUAUAAGCAUACUUCGGAGAUAUUGCAGGUUCCGUUCCAGACCACUGCAACAGUGAAUAUCUCAAUCAAACUUCUUCUCGGCGCUGCAUUUUGAAUUGUUUCUACUAGUGUAUCUUGAAGUUUACUAAGCUUUUCUUCUGGAGUGUCUAAGAUGCUGUUCAUCUCGGCCAGUAUUUUUUCAUCUGUAGAAUUUAAUUCAGUCUUUUUUUAUGUUCUCCAUAUCUCUCCUUAACAUGCUCAUACAUUCUUCUACCUUUGUGAACACAUGGAGUAUAUUAUCACUUUUUAAUAUUCUGCUCCGCAUAAUUCUAGCAUCUGUAUCAUUUCUGUUUCAGUCAAUUUAUUUUUCUUCUUAUUCUGGGUCAUAUUUUCUUUUUGUUUUGUUUUGUUUUGUUUUCAGAAAGAGUCUCGCUCUGUCGCCCAGGUUGGAGUGCAGUGGCACGAUCUCGGCUCACUGAAACCUCCGUCUCCCGGGUUCAAGCGAUUCUCCUACCUCAGCGUUCCGAGUAGCUGGGACUACAGGUGCGCACCGCCACGCCCGGCUAAUUUUUGUAUUUUUUUGUAGAGACGGGGUUUUGCCAUGUUGCCCAGGCUUGUCUCGAAUUCCUGAGCUCAAGCAGUUCGCCCGCUUUGGCCCCUCAAAGUGUUGGGACUACAGGUGUAAGCCACUGUGCCCGGCCCUGGGUCGUAUUUUCCUGCCUCUUUGUAUGCCUGUUAAGGUUUGAUUGGAUGCCAGAUGUGGCUGGAAAGGUCACUCAUGAUUAGUUACUUCUACUAAUUCUCUGACUUCAUCUUCUAAUCUCCACCCCUCCCAGGUCUCUGAUUUUGCCACCCUGAACUUCUUGCACACUUCCUCGUUCAUUUGCACAUGCUGUCCCCUUUCUCUGGGGCACUCUUCCCUAGGCGGUCCCCAUGGGUUUCUCCCUAACUUCAUUUGGGUCUGUGUUCAAAUGUCACAUUACCAAAAACAUUCUAUCACCUUUCCUUGCUUUAUUUGCCUUUAAACAUUUAUAACCACUUGCCAGCCAUGUUACUUACUGAUUGUCUAUUUUUACCUCACCGCCCACCUCUGCUAAAAUGUACCAUGACAGCAUCACCGAGAACUACUGCCAUCAGCUAUAUAAUGAAACUAUUUUUAAGCAACAACAACAGCAGCAGAGAAGAGGGACCAACAGGGUCCAAUGCAUCAGAGGGGUCCAAACUGGUAAGCACUGAAAAAUAUCUAUUGAAUCGGACAAUUAGGAGGACUAACCUCCUCAAGAGUAAGUUCCUGCAGUUUGCUGGAUAAAGGGCAUCAGAGCGCCGUGGGUUGGGUUGAGGACAUCUUCUCCCUUACAGCCUCCUGGUUCUUCUCUCAGAAAAACUUCUCCUCCUUCCCAGCUCAAUCCUAUUUAUUUAUUUUAAAAUUUAUUGUGUAUAUUUAAGGUAUACAACAUGCUGUUAUAGGAUACACAUAGUUAGUAAAAUAUUUACUAUAGCAAAGCAAAUGAACAUCUCUGUCGUCUCCGCACAGUUACCCAUUUUUGUUGCUUUUGUGGCAAGAGCAGCUACAAUCUAGUCAUUUAGUAGGAAUCCCAAGUACAGUGCGAUUUUAUGACCUACAACCAUCAUGGUGUACAUUAGAUCUCUCCACACACCUGUUACAUUGUAUCCUCUGACCUACGUCUUCCCAUUUCUUCCUCCCAUUCCUCCCCAGCCUGCUUCCACCCCAGUAACUGCUGUUUUAUUAUCUGCGUCUGCACAUUUGAUUUUGUUUUUAGAUUCCACAUGUAAGUGACAUCAUGCACUAUUUUUUUUUCCUGUCUGACGCAUUUCACUCAGCAUAGUGUCUUCCAGGUUAAUCCAUGUUGUGCCAAACGACAGGACCUUCUUUUUAAAGGCUGAAUAAUAUUCCAUUGUAUACAGAUGCCACAGUUUUUUAAAUCCAUUCCUCCAUCGACACUUGGGUGGUUCCAUAUCUUGACUAUUGUGAAGAAUGCUGCGUGAAAAUAGAAGUGCAGCCUGAGCUUUUGCUGCGAUCUCCAAAAAAUCAUUGCCA